CCAAUUGUGUGAGACAAUGAAGAUAGAAGUCCAGGUGUUUGAUGAAAUGCCCAGCUCAGAAUUUUCAUGUGAAGAGAGAAGACGCGAUGGUAUCUUGGGUGCUAUAUCAAGAUUUUCCUUAUGGGUAGCUUCCUAGAGGAUCUUAUCUAUAUUGACAUAUGUAAGAUCAGGAUCUGCAGAUUUUGGUAUGGCUCUCUGCUUCUUCCUUCCAUAAUGUCUCACUGAACUUGCACUGGAUUUGGGUAUGGUUCUUAAAGUUCUUGGAAUCUAGUUGGUUCAAGAUUGAUAUGUUUGAUGGUUUUGCUCAGUCUCUUUAUUGGUUAUAGUUAUGAUCCGUUGGUUUCUGCCUUCUGGAAAGAUGGGAGAUUGGAUUUGGCAAUAGAGUUUUUGGAUUACAUGAUAUCGGAUGACUGCUUGCCGGAUAUUGUGAACUACAAUACGAUAUUGGCUGCGUUGUGUAAGAGUGGAAAGGCUGAUCAGGCUUUGCAAAUCUUCAAGAACUUCGAUGAAGUGGGAUGUCCUUCGAAUGUGAGCUCAUACAACACCAUGUCCAGUACUGUGGAGACAGAGUUCGAGCUUUGCAAAUGGUAUCAGAAAUGGUAAGCAAAGGAAUAGAUCCUGACGGGAUUACUUACAAUUCGUUUAUAUUGUGGUUGUGCAAUAUAUUUUCUUAUCUUAGCCUAUAAUUUCAGAGUCUAACCAACUCAGUUGUUAGCAUGAAUUUACAGUAAAUCCGGUUAUACGAUGAAGUUUGAAGAAGUUGUAAACGGUAAAUCCCACGAAGGGUAAUUCCGUGAUGUGAGUAGGUAAAUCCCACAAAGGGUAAUCCUACAUAGAUGUUGAUUUUCUAUUGUUGAAAUUGUGAAGGCCGAUGCCAUUGUUAAGAGUAGUUGUGUUUUGGUAAAAUCCACAAUGGGCGAUCCUGUGGUACUAUAAUUAAGGCUGAUUCCACACUAUAGUUUGUUAAUUUUUUGUCUUAAAGACCGAUGCCAAUGUUAAAUGAAGUUGAUGACAGUAAAUCCCACGAAGGGUAAUCCCGCAAGAAAUUGUUAUAACCGGCAUGAGGGUGUGUGUACAACUUUAUAAAAGGCUAUUUUUUGAUUCUGUAAUCUAUUGGAAAUAGAGGCUUCUACAUACAAAAUGGUUCCAUAAUCUAGCUGAGUAUGUUGAAAGAAAUAUUGGAAAACAUUCUUUCUUUGGAAGAUUGUAUCUGCAUGUUGGAAAUGUGCCCUAAAACCAAUCAUGUGAUGAUGCUUUACGGACAUUUCACAUGUUAAACUAAUCUAGUUUAAUAUAAAGGGCAAAGAUUAUUGUUUGAGCCGUCUCAUAUAAAUGUUAUAUGCUUAAACGAUAAAGUCCAAGGAAUAUGUGAUUGGGAGAAUGUAAUCUAAUGAAGUUAGAUUCAUGAGACCAUUCUUUCGUAGACACAUCCUAAAUGUUCCUGAUCAUAGGAUUGCCAAUUGGGCAUUGACAGUCCGUCAAGAUCGGUACGUGCUAUGUCUUCUCUUAGGGAGAGUGACUAGUCUCGAGUCAUUGGUGUGUGUGACAUCAAGACAAGUACGUAGGUGCUCAGUAGAGAAUGAGUUCACUGAACGCGAUCAACGAAGAGUUCUCAUACUCAUGUCACAUGAGAACUCAUGGUUGGGAUAAUGCAAAGUAGUCCUUUGACCUGAGGCAUCACAGUUGUCUUGUGGUUAAGUCAUUGAUCUUUGAUUAUGUCAAAGUCACCCCAUCGGGGUGUCCAUGGCAUCGUUGGGGUUAAGCCACUUAGCCAUGGAGGCAAGUGAAUGCGCAACAAGGGAUUUCUAACCUUCAAACUGUUUGAGGGAGAAUACUCUAUGAUAUGAUUUAGAAUCUCUGGCCAGAGUAUGAAUGAGAUUUAGAAAAGUCGUUCUAAAUCACAUUCAAGGUAAUCAUAUAAGCACACGAAUCACAUUGGAUAGUAGACAUGAAUAAAUAAACUAUCAAACCAAACAAUGUGGUCAAGAGUAUUGUAUUAGAGAAAGACCGUAUUGCAUUUGUAAUCCCAAACUGAAUAGGUUUUCUCUACCUCUUCUGAUUAGCUUGGGUAACCAUGAUAUGCUGCAAGGUGUCACUCAUGGUUUGUGGAAGCCCUAAACGUGUGUAAUCACUAAAGGGAGAAUUGAAAGUAAGUUUCAAUUCACAAUCGAUAUAAAAUGGUUUUAAUCGCCCACUGCCUCGCUAAAAGGAACCUAAUGGAUCGCACACCGUGUAAGGUGGAGAUUGAAGAAACAAUGGAGAUGAGUAAGAAUGAUUAAAUGGUUUAAUCAUUUAUUUAUGGCAAGGAUUAAUUAAUAUGUUUAAUUAAUCAAACGAAUAAGUUCGUUAAAGACCUCGGGAUAGUUUUGGACAUUAAGGCCCAAUGGGCUUCGAACGUCAAGCCCAUUGACUUAAGUUGUAUGACAACUUAAUGAAUAAUGAUUCACAAAGGCCUAAUUAGCCUAAAAAUACCCUAGGGCCGGCCAUGAUGCUAAGGGUAGUGAACUUGGACUUAUUUACAAGUUUGCCACUCAAAUGAAUAAAGGUAUAAAUAUGACUUUAUAGCCUAAAAUUCAUAAGGGUUUGUUUUGGAGAAAAUUGGAGAGAACAUGUCUCUCCAUUUCUCUCUAAAGAGGCCGGCCACCUUGGGGGUGCAUCUUGCAAUCCCACUACUCCAAGGUCACUCAUUUCUUCUCCAAUCUCUCCUUGGUGAAGAGACUUAGAGGUUCCCUAUUUUGGGAACUUGGAGAAACCUAUUCAUCCAUCCAAAUCCAUAGAUUUUAGAUGCAAGGAAUGAAGGCCCUCUCUUUGGGUGAUUAGCCUUUGCUUAUGCAAAGAGGAAUCUACUAGGCUUUGAAUUUCUUGGUUAAUGUUUUGUUUUUAAGUGCAUGCUAGCAUGAUUCCGCCUUUAAUUGUUAAUUGCAUGCUAUAUGAUGUUGCUUAAAUGAACAUGUUUUUACAAAAUAUUCCUUCACUGCAAAGGUGAUGUGUGAUGAUAAUGGGAUGAGCAACAUGUUUUUUGGUUUUGGCAAGUUUGAAAGGAUGAUAACUAUAUGUGGUUGUACCUUAUCGCAAAGAAAACAGUAGCUACAGAGGUGUAGAUAUCAGUUUGAGAGGCUGAAAUUCUUUGGGAAGUUGAUUGAUGAGUAUGAAAUUGCACCGCUCUUGAGUAAUUUUCAAUGCUUGCAGCCAUGGAGGAUUAAUUGGUGAGGGGCAGCAGGGCUAGGAGUAUAUGGACAAGAAGGACUUCAUAGUUCUGCAUUUCUCAAAGCAUUCAUUCAAUCUCAAACCAGGAAACCCAGUUGAGAUUGAGGAUGGAUGUUGAAUAUAUCACUGCCAACUCAUCAAAACAGUUGUAAGUGAAUUGGAUGAUGUAAUAGUUAGUUGAAAGAGUUACUUAGAGUUUGUUACUCAAAGCUUAUUAGCUAGUCCUCUAGUCAGCUAUAAAUAGCUAUUGUAAACAGAUAGUA
rnacentral:lncRNA from 1 species